UAUCACUGUCCUCCACCUUCGGUUUAAGUGAGGAUAUUGCUGACACCGAAAGCGAAGAAACAAACGGCUCCUUUGAGCCUCAAAGUGAGACAGACAGCCAGCACAUCAUCAGACAGCAUCCUAGCAGUUGCAGAGAUAAGAGGCCACAUAGAAGGCCACGUAGCAGACCACUUCGAGAAUCAAAAAAGAAAGACCUAAAAUUUCCGUUCCUUGAGAAGUAUUACGGAAGAGCUUUCCUGACAUUGCACCAGCGGCAGACAGUAGUGAACUCUUCAAUAGGCGGAUUCUUCCAGUGCAUGAAAACUUUGUCUUCAACAGACAAACAAAAGAAACCAGAAUUAUUACCCAUUACAGUUUCAGAUUUAUCUUCAGAAGAAGAGACUGAAGAUCAUCAAGACCAAGAUGAUCAAGACGAUAUCAGGAUAGUGGAUGGAGCUUUGUUUAUUCAGAACUUUCACAAAAGAAGAAGACAAGAGUGGGGAACAAAUACCAAGAAAGGUCCAUCAAAAGUCAAGAACACAAAAAAGAAACCUCCUAAUACCAAAGAUGUCUUGGAUGUUUACGGACACAAAAGAUCUAGCAGGAAAUAAGAAUUCCUGAGCAAACGGACAUUGACUAUGAAAAAUUGGGUCGCCUGAAGACAAUAAUUCCAUAAUGCUUCAUCAUUUAAGGUCUGGAAAAAAAAGGGAACAGGUAAAAGGCAGACUGAAGUUGAUAGAUUAACACCAUGUUGGAAAACCCUGAAAAAUCUGGGUUGAAUGGAGGUUUGGAGGAAAGUGACGAAAUUGCGUCUCAGAUGACAGAAAAUUCCCUGCGAGCACAAGAACUGUCCAAAACAGAAGAAAGUCCGGAUCCUGUUUCAGACGUCCAAUGGAGUCUGUCUAAGGAUUCUUCAUGCCCCCCUCCUGUGCAGUGUAUUGUACUACUGAGUGAAGGUCCAAAUGUUGGAGACAACGGAGAAAUGGAAAACAAUUCCUCUCCGGGGCACCAUUCCCAGCUUUACACUUGGUGUAGAGGCACAGCCUUAGAAAAAGAAACGGCUUCUAUGUCAAGACCUAUCAGACACAGGGGAGAUGGUAUUACAGUGGAAUAACACUGAGAUUACAUCUAAAUGCCACAGACUGUUAGGCCGGACUGAGACAGAAACAUGCACAAGCACUUCUGAGCAUCCAAUGAAAACGUGCAUUCAGCUGACUGUGGAUAGGGAUGUGGCAUCAUUUCAAGAGUGUGAAAUCCAGUCUUUAACUUCUUAUAGGGGUUCUUGUUCAGUAUGUCAAGCAAAAAAAAAACAGGAUACAAUUAUCAGCCUUAUGCCUGAAAUGGACAUUUCAAUAUUGUCAAAGAAAAAUAAUUUAAAAACACAAAUACAAAGAAAAUCCAUGCGAUCUAGAAGAUCCUGUUCAACAGGACAGUCAAGAACGGAUUUAUUACCAGCCCGAGGGGCAGUGUGACCAACCAAGAGACAAAAUAAUAAAAAGAAAACGUAGCGUCUCUUGGAAAGUGGAACUACAUUUGUCUCAGAUGACCGAAGACAACCGACGGAGGCCAAAACACACCAAGCACAAGUUCCUCUUGUGCAGAGUGUUAAAGCCAAGAGAUGGUCUAGACAGUCGAGGAAAAAGGAAGAAGGAUGAAAAGACACAUCUCAGAGCAACAUUUGUUCUACAACUGAUACCGAAUCUGUCUGAAGUGCUCUACAAAACAAAAAAAGAAAAAGAAAGGGCAGAGGUGAAAAACCUAUGUAGCUCAGGAGCUACAGGGUCCAAAGAUAACAGUUCUCAAUGUUCACAAGAACUAGAUGAGUGGGAAACAAAGGACCAAGCUCAAGAUUUAAAGAAGAGAAAGAAGUUACAUUGUUGGACUCUGUUGCUAUGGAGAUGAUCACAAGCUCCGACACGUGUCAGGUUGUGGACUUAGACCCUAAAGCGAAUCUGCGCCUUUCAGAAGAAGAAAAAAAAAAGUGAUGAUAUAUCAGCGGAGGUGACACUUGGAGAUACAGCUGCAACAGUUUAGUCAGGGCUUGAGCACAACACCCCCCCCCCCCACACACACACACACACUAUUUUUGAAAGUGAGAAAAUGCAAAGAAAAAAAAACAAAACUUUAUGACUGUGAAAAAGCAGCAUAUCCAGAGAAGUUGUGAAGAAAAGCUAGGAUAGUAACACUAAGACAAUAAUGGAGUAGCCUUCUGAUCAUUACCAUAUUGUCAAAACAAAAACAAAGGCCAUGUAUAAAAAGAAAUUAUGACAUAAUGAUGAAGUUAAAAAGAAAUUAUGUAUUAUGUAUUAAGUAAUGAUGACAAUCUAGCUAUCUUUUUUCAUGACACCAUGAAAGAGAGAGUGACUAUGUCUUGAGAGUCUUUUAUUUUCUGUCAUGAAUAUAGCCAUCAUUAAUAUACUACUUUGCUUCUUUUGAAGUUGACAGUCAGUGACUGUUGGACACCGAGUGUACACAUGCGUCCUAAAUAUUGGAGAAGUUUUUUUUUAUUUUCAUUCAUAUUAUAUUAGUUUUGUACUUUUGAAAGUGUCUAUGUAUUAAAUACCUUGAAUGUGCUUCCUGGUGGAUGCAUUUGUUGAAAUAAAAUCCAUGACAUUCAGACUUGAAACAUUGUCGCCCUUAAUUGUGCAGAGGCUAUAUGCUCCUUAUGGUCAGUAAAUGUUUGCGUGCACCUGUAUUGGCCUUAAUGUGUUUACCAUUAACACCUUCUUAUCCUAUUAGAGCCUUUCCUUGACCAAGCUCGUCUGCUGAAAGACCUGGCGCUUGCAGAAUGCUCACAAUGUAUUUUAGUGAGCUAUUCUUAUGACUUAGGCAUGUCUUUAGUCAGUGUUUAUGAUUUGGU